AAUUUUAAGAACCAAACGGAAGGGACAGGACGGGCUUACCCUGCAGCCAUCAACCUUACCAGCGGUUAACACGAGGCCGAGAAUAUACGGGCUGACUGAUACCCACCCCUUCUCCAUACUGUUGUAUAAGGAGGGAUAGAUGGAGCCCUCAUAUCCUUUAUUAAGGAGGGGGUUUUCUUCAAGCUUAAUUUAAAACGAUUCAACUAUGGGGGGAUAAAAGGUUUGCGAAGGCGCUUUUUGUUAAUGAAAUCGAGGUGGCGCGGUAGGUGGACUGUUAAGAGAGAGCGAGAUUCGAUUUAUUAGGAUUCUCAAAUGUACUAAUGAAAAUUCAACUCCGAUCCUAAGGCAGCCAGGGGCACAGAGGCAUAAAAUUGACAAAAAGUGAACAAAAUGUGGCUAUUUUUAUCCAAGUCUUUAUCAUACGCCUUCUUAAGAGCAAUCCCAGAGAAAUCACCAGACACUGUCUGAACGGGUGAAAACUUAGAUCGCAAAAAACUAUCAAAUAACGCCAGGGUUGCCUAUGGGUUACGUGACGUGAGCGUGACACAACCGUGACAUAUAAUUCGUGAUGGACGGAAGACUUGGCACCAUGGGAACUAAUUUCAAUAUGGCGGCUGAUAAUUCAGUUCGAACGCCGUGCGACUGGCACCACCAAACCUUUCGAGGAAAAAACACUCUCAAAGUCAUCAUUUGCCUUAAAAAAUGUUCCAUUUUGCUUAGCAAGAACUGAAAGCGAUGGUAGCGAUAAAGAAGCUAAAAUGGAUACCACUUAAUCUUUCUUAGGUUAUUGAAACAGGCUGUUUGAAGUGGAUUAUACACUGACUGGCUUCCUUCCUAACACUUCACUGACCUAACCUAUCCAUUUAAUAGAAUGGCUUCAGUGUCUAAACCUGCAGAUGCUUUGAAAACUACAUAAGGAAAUCUUAAUUGACAGAAAGCUAGAUUGCAUGAUUAUUGCAUGCAGUAACCAUGUUAUUGACUGGUUGGCGCUGGCCUACCUGCCAGCUUGACUGAUGCAUUGAUUGAUUGACUUAUUGAUUGAGUGAGUGAGUGACUGACUGACUGAUUGAUGUACUGAAUGGUGAAAUGAUUAAAUGACUGACCCACCAACUGACAUACAAGUUUACUGACUGAUUGAGUGGUUGCAUAACAGACUGAUUGUCAAGCUGACUUAUUGAUUGAGUGACUGCAUGACUGAUUGACUGACUGACUUGCUGACAUGCAGUCUGGCUGACUGGCUGGCUGACUGCCUUACUUACUGACCUAAAGUGCACUGAUAUACUCCCUGACUGACUGACCAACUGGUUGGCUAGCUUACUGAUUAAUUGGCUGCCUGACUGACUUUACAGAAUUAUUGACCUGUAACUGACAGACUAUGCUGCUAUGCAUUGGACGCCAGAAGGGAAACGCAAGCGGGGUCGCCCCAAGAUCACAUGGCUACGGACAGUUGAGAAGGAAAUAAAGAAGAUGGGGAAGACCUGGGAGGGCAUCAAGUUCAUGACAAGGGAUCGCCAGACGUGGAGGGAACACGUUGCUGCCCUACAUGCCUGUUAGGUGUAAAGGGCAUGAUGAUGAUGAUGAUGAUGAUGAACUGACAGACUGUCUGACUGAUUGGCUGGCUGGCUGAACUGCUGACUGACUGUGGCUACAUGUAAAUGAUGGGCUGGUUGGUCUGCUGGCUCACCGAUUGACCUAAUGAUGAAAUGACUGACUGGGUGACUAGCCAAAUGUUUUCUCAUUGUUUCACAAGCUAACUGAGCAAUGGAAUAACUGAUUGGCUGGCUGGUAGUUUACUGUUUGGCUCACCAACUGACUGGCUGAUUUGCUGGCUCAAAAUAGCCCAAUUGACAUUAUCAAAGUGUUUCAUUGACAAGCCGACUUCCUUGAUAAUUGAAUGACUGAGUGAUUGGCUAAAUGCUGACUGAUUAAAUGGCUGACUGGCAACUGACUGCCUGACAGGCUGACUGAGUGUUUUAGGCUGAUGAACAAUGCAAUUUCACAAAGCUGCAAGGAAGUGAAAAAAAUGAUGGGUCGUGAAUUUUUUUCAGCUUUGGCCGAAUCAAAAUCUGUGAUAUGGUAAGAGGCAUGCAUUGUUCACAGAUGUAGUUGAUUUGCACUGCAUAGAGAAACAUAAUAAAGCCGCUAUAAAAUUCAAGGUUUUUUGCAUACGUUAUUUCUCGAAAACGAAGCGCAAACCAGCGAAAAAAAAAACCACAACAGUGUAUAUCGAGUAAAACUAAGUCCACAUGCCAAAAUUCAACUACUUCUGAACACUUUCAAAAAUGGCCGAAAAAUCAAGGGGUCGUUCUUGCUCUGAGCCUUUCAAUUGAUAGUGUGUCGUCACUUCUCUAAUGUCUCUAAUGUUAGUUUUUUUGGAGGAUUUUGAAAAGAUUUGGAAAUGCUCUAUUAGAUUUUGUAUGUUAUGGGUCAUUUUUAGGUUGUUACAUUUGUGUUAGCUCUUCAUUCUAGUGUUUCAUUUUUUCUUUCCCUUUCUUCCUAUAAAUGUUGUGACAAGAUAGAUAUUUACCCUAUUUCCUUCUUCAACUUAUGUAAGAUUUUGAGUGAAGCGUUGGAGAAGUAAAUGGGCCCAGCUUGGUUGCUACAGGUCAGGAAAUGAUCAGAUACUGCAUGGAUUACACGUUGAGAAAGAAGGUCCAGGAAGAAAGGAAUACAACAAGUCAUGGUGUUGCAAGGAUUACAAGUUUAUAAGGUCAAGGGAGAGAAGAAAACUCUUCAUUUUGGUGAGUAUAAUUGAUGUGAUAUGGUUGAACCUUUAGACCUGAGACCAAGAUACCUUAAAACUACAAGCUUAAAAAGAAGGUCAAGGUGGACUGAGUAAUGUCUAUGUAUCGUCAAAAGUCAGGAAGUUUAACUCGUUUCCAAUUUUUCUUUGUCAGGGAACACUUCUAAAAAUUGUAAUUAUUAGUUUGAGGAAGUAGCCAUAUUUUUAGUUCAGACCGCUACUAGGGUUUGUUAAGAUUGACAGAGUAAGCCUUUUGAAAGUCGUAUUUGCUGUACUUUGCAUACGAACUGAUAGUUUAAUCUUUAUUAGAUACUUAAUAAAGACACUUAAGUUUUG